CGCGGGGUGGAGCAGCACGGUAGCUCGUCGGGCUCAUAACCCGAAGGUCGCAGGUUCAAAUCCUGUCCCCG
rnacentral:tRNA from 1 species